UGCCUCUCCAAUCUUCUCCAACUUUCUUCUCGAGAGAGGACUCUGCUAGACGCUCUUUCUCUCCUUUUUCUUCUCCUUCUUUGUAUAAUAAGGCGAUGAUGGGUGACUCGGAAUCGUUCUUCUUCUUCUCCUCUUGUUUGCGUUCCGUAUUCUCCAGCGGUUGGCGAGGCAGCUCUGGAAGGCCUGCUGUUCCGCAGAUUCCGAACUCGGAUCAUGAUUCUUUUUCAAUUAUCACGGAAGCGUUGUUCUCCUUCUCCUCUUCUUGGGAGUUCUCUAGUGCAGCCAUCGUUAGAUGGAGAGACCGCCGGAGGAGAAGAGAACUCGGAUCUUUCGUUCCAAUCGAUUCAAGAACUCUACUAAGCCCUUGUGCCCUAAUCCGUGAAUCUUUUUCCAUUAUGACGGAGCCCUUCUUUCUUUUCUACUUUAUUCUCUCUUGCUCUCCUCUUUCUUCUUCUUCCUCUUCUCCUUCUUCUUCGUUUUCCAAAUUGGGAUAGCGGGUAUCGCUUUUUAGGGUUAUUUAUAGAAGUUUUGAUGAUUCUUGGACCGGGGUUUUGCUGCAUUGCCAAGCGGGAAAUGGGGGAAAUGGCUGUUUCCAUGGGCGACACGAUCGUGGAUGGUCUUCUCCUGUUCUACAGGCAACUCGUUUGCAGGUGUUGCAGAGAGUCACGGACGAACAACUCAAUGCUUGCUGGAUUAAACGGCGAAUCUGAGUCUUUUGGAUUUUGUUUUCUAAGCUUUCUUUCAUUUCUUUACUAUAACUAAUUUCUACUUAUGAGUUGUUUGCUGGAGGUUGAUGAAAGUUUGGCGCGGUAGGGAUUGAAUCAAUAUCAGCUACGAUUUCGAGAAUCCCAUUUCUCGAAUAUUUUGUUUUGGUUUCGAGAAAUUUGGGAUUAUCUGUUUGGGAUUUAGCGUUUGUGAGGUCCAGGGGUUUUGAGUCUACUCCCUUCCAAGGAAACUAUUUCAGUUACUUCCUUCACCAACAACAUUCAAGGACCUUGAAGGAGAAUUUUUCUGUUUGCAUGCAAAGCUACAUUACCAACUGGAGCUGGCUCUACACCACCGCAGGAGCCGCAUAGAGAUUUCUCUAGAGCUGAUAAGUUUACCCGCUUCCCUGAAAUCAUCUGACACUUCUUAUUUUUAAAAUUCUCGAGAUCUCAGUCAGAUAAGAAGACUUAUGCUUGUAACUUGCGAAAUUUAACUUUAAAGCAUUUUAAUAUUUUACUUUGUGUUUUUUGUCCUGUAUAACAAUCCUAUGAUUUUUUUUGCAUUCUUUGCUGCUGAAUGUAAAGUCAUCCUGGUCUUAUAUUACUUUGUGGAAGUGAACUUCUUUUUUUGUCUUUAUUA